UAGUGCGAUCAUACCAAAACUAAUGCAUCGGAUCCUAUCAGAACUCCGCAGUUAAGCGUGCUUGGGCGAGAGUAGUACUAGGAUGGGAGACCCCUUUUUCUGCAAAAU
rnacentral:rRNA from 1 species